ACAUGCAAGUCGAACGGAAAGGCCCUGCUUUUGUGGGGUGCUCGAGUGGCGAACGGGUGAGUAACACGUGAGUAACCUGCCCUUGACUUUGGGAUAACUUCAGGAAACUGGGGCUAAUACCGGAUAGGAGCUCCUGCUGCAUGGUGGGGGUUGGAAAGUUUCGGCGGUUGGGGAUGGACUCGCGGCUUAUCAGCUUGUUGGUGGGGUAGUGGCUUACCAAGGCUUUGACGGGUAGCCGGCCUGAGAGGGUGACCGGCCACAUUGGGACUGAGAUACGGCCCAGACUCCUACGGGAGGCAGCAGUGGGGAAUAUUGCACAAUGGGCGGAAGCCUGAUGCAGCAACGCCGCGUGCGGGAUGACGGCCUUCGGGUUGUAAACCGCUUUCGCCUGUGACGAAGCGUGAGUGACGGUAAUGGGUAAAGAAGCACCGGCUAACUACGUGCCAGCAGCCGCGGUGAUACGUAGGGUGCGAGCGUUGUCCGGAUUUAUUGGGCGUAAAGGGCUCGUAGGUGGUUGAUCGCGUCGGAAGUGUAAUCUUGGGGCUUAACCCUGAGCGUGCUUUCGAUACGGGUUGACUUGAGGAAGGUAGGGGAGAAUGGAAUUCCUGGUGGAGCGGUGGAAUGCGCAGAUAUCAGGAGGAACACCAGUGGCGAAGGCGGUUCUCUGGGCCUUUCCUGACGCUGAGGAGUGAAAGCGUGGGGAGCGAACAGGCUUAGAUACCCUGGUAGUCCACGCUGUAAACGGUGGGUACUAGGUGUGGGGUCCAUUCCACGGGUUCCGUGCCGUAGCUAACGCUUUAAGUACCCCGCCUGGGGAGUACGGCCGCAAGGCUAAAACUCAAAGGAAUUGACGGGGCCCCGCACAAGCGGCGGAGCAUGCGGAUUAAUUCGAUGCAACGCGUAGAACCUUACCUGGGUUUGACAUGGAUCGGGAGUGCUCAGAGAUGGGUGUGCCUCUUUUGGGGUCGGUUCACAGGUGGUGCAUGGCUGUCGUCAGCUCGUGUCGUGAGAUGUUGGGUUAAGUCCCGCAACGAGCGCAACCCUUGUUCACUGUUGCCAGCACGUUAUGGUGGGGACUCAGUGGAGACCGCCGGGGUCAACUCGGAGGAAGGUGGGGAUGACGUCAAGUCAUCAUGCCCCUUAUGUCCAGGGCUUCACGCAUGCUACAAUGGCUGGUACAGAGAGUGGCGAGCCUGUGAGGGUGAGCGAAUCUCGGAAAGCCGGUCUCAGUUCGGAUUGGGGUCUGCAACUCGACCUCAUGAAGUCGGAGUCGCUAGUAAUCGCAGAUCAGCAACGCUGCGGUGAAUACGUUCCCGGGGCU
rnacentral:rRNA from 1 species